CACUGCCAAAGCCCCCUUCAAUAUCAGCUUGCGUGUAUAAGACUAAACCUCCCCCCGCCCCCAGCCGCAUUGUUCAGCAUUAUUCUGCCCCGACAAUGGGAAAUCACACUUUGAAAGUCAUUUUCCAAAAGGGGGAAGCCAAUCAAAAAUAAUGGCACUUAUUGUUUCUCUUUGGCUGAGCGGCCUGCCCCUCCCUCGGCUUCAUUCACAUCCAUUAUACAGACAAAUUAAAUAAAAGCGAGUAUGGGGUCGGAGGAGGGCUGAGAGCUGCCAUGACCAUCGCCAGAGGCGUUCAGGCUCAGGAGGAGCUCUGUGGAGCCAGAGGAGAGGGAAGCGCCGAGAGAUGCUGAAGCACAACACGGCAUCGUCACUCUUCUUGAAGGCGGACACGCUGAGCUGCGGGCAACUUUGGCCAACCGGUCUUUUUCCGCCUGUCCUGCAAAAGCUCCAACUUAGAAUAACUGGAUGACGGGAGGCCCGCUGAGAGGAGGGGAAGGAAGUUGCUAAGCCUGCUGCCAACCCUGUGAUGACCGUGGCGGCUUCUCGUUCUCUCCGACAUGUUGGAUGCGCAUGCACCCCCCACCCCCAAUAAAACAUACGCGGGAACACCAGCAAUGCAUCCAGGCGUGACGCAGAAAAAACCCAAAGCACGACCACAGGAAGCCAUCAUCUCAUCUGACUGAUGAAAUAACCUUUGUGUGACCAACUCACGCGUCGGGAACGGAUCCCAUCCACGCGCUGAGUGGGACAAUAAAGCAGGUGCGGGGGUACACAUGGAGAUGAAGACACAGAAACAACACGGAAUACUGAAUGCGACUAAAUUGCCACCAUUUAUGCAAUAAAAUUCACAUUGACGGUCUUGGCUGUGGGGAAUGGAUUUGGAUGAUGAGAAAAUGAGUGUGAGUGUCUCAUUGCAGCACUUUUUUUUGUAUUUUUUAAUAUUUAAAAAUGUAUUAAAAGAGCCCAUUAGCGCAUGCGUGUGUGUGUUAAAUGGCGUUUUCUCUGGCGCUAGCAAACAAAAGGGUGUUUUGAAUGGCACAUGCUCUGCGUCAGUCAAGCGUUCCCUAGCAACAGACACAACACAAAUGCACCUGUGGCUGUGAAUGGGAGACCUGUUGUUUGCCAAAUGAACAAGUAUAUGCAAAACAUACAAUUUACAGAGCUGGGUGUGUUUCUCACAUACGUUCUGAUUAGAUUAGAUCGUACAACUUUAUUGAUCCCUUGGGCGUGCGUCUGGAACGCCGCAUGUUGUCUAACCAAGGCAAGAAAAUAGCAUAUUGUCCCAUUUAAAAAUGCACAGUUUUAUGUUUGUUUAUGUAGACCUGUCAUAACCUGUCUUCUUAUUAGCUCGGGAAAAUCAUGUUUUCUUUGUAUGUUUUUUUUUUAGAUUCAUUAAAAGUCAUCUAAUUGAA